rnacentral:lncRNA from 1 species
ACAAGUUAUAUUUUACUAUACUUAGGGAGGCAAGAAGGGGCCAGGGUGUUGGUUUUUACAUAAUCGAGUCAGAAAUACAUGAUUGUGUUCCUGACCCUAUAGUGCUCCUUUAAGCAAGAGUAUGUGAAGAGUAGUUAGGGUUGCCACCUUUCUUGGAAAAAAAUACCAGCCUUAAUAAUUUGUAUAAUCACAAGGAGUGACAUCAGAGAAAAUUCUGUAAAAUCACCAACAAACUACUCACAGUUUGAUUCUGCUGUAAAGACGGAUUGCUCCCAGUGUCUCAGUCUCGCAAGUCACCCAGUGUCUCAGUGUCCCUAUGUAUCACAGUGUCAGUGUCCCCAUGUCGCCCAGUCCCCUAGUCUCCCAGUGUCUCAGUGUCCCCAUUUCUCCCAGUGUCUCAGUGUGUCCCCAUGUCUCAGUGUGUCCCCAUGUCACUAGGAUACUGGGGACACAGUGAGACAUGGGGACACAGAGACCCGGGGACACGGAGACAUGGGGACACAGACAUUUAGGGAAACUGGGAGAAAUGGGGACACAGACACCAGGGACACAGACACUGGGAGACAUGGGGACACUGCAACAUUUGGGGACACUAAGACACUAGGGACACAGAGACAUGGGAACACAGACACUGGGAGACUAUGGGACACUGGGAGACAUGGGGACACUGGCUGGAAGACAGACACUUGGGGACACUGGGAGACAUGGGGACAGUUGUGGGCAUAGACAUGGGGACACUGGGACAUAUAGGGACACUGGGAGACAUAGGGACACAAGGCACACUGAGACACUAGGAACACAGAGACUGGGAGACAUAGGGACACUGAAACAUUUGGGGACACUAAGACACUAGGGACACAGAGACAUGGGGACACUUGGAGACUUGGGGACAGUUGUGGACAUAGACAUGAGGACACUGGGACAUAUAGGGACACUGGGACACAUGGGGACACUAGGCACACUGAGAGACACGGGACACAGACACUGUGAGACUUAGGGACACUGAGACACUAGCGACACUGGAUGGGGGACAUGGGGACACUGGGAGAAAUGGGGACAUAGUGUCUCCAUGUCCCAAUGUCUCAGUGUCUCUCAAUAUUCCCAUGUGUCCCAGUGUCCCCUAGUGUCUCAGUGUCCCCAUGUUUUCCAGUGUCCCCAAGUGUCUCAGUGUUUCCAGGUCUCCCAGUGCCUGUGUCCCCAUGUAUCCUAGUGUCUCAGUGUCCCCUAGUGUCUGUGUCCCCAUGUGUCCCCUAGAGUCUGUGUCCCCUAGUGUCUCAGUGUCCCCAUAUGUCCCCUAGUGUCUCAGUGUCCUCUAGUGUCUCAGUGUUCACAUGUGUCCCCUAGUGUCUCAGUGUUCACAUGUGUCCCCUAGUGUCUCAGUGUCCCCAUGUGUCCCCCAGUGUCCCCAUCCCUCACUUACCUGAGCUGUAGAGCUGCUGUCUGGACUCUGUGCUGUGUUGCUGCUCCCCCACGGAUCAGUAAGUAGUAGAGAGAGGCAGGGAUAUGCUGUAACUUCCUAUCCCUGCCUCUCUCCACACAGUGACCUCUAUUGGCUGGUGCUGGUAUUGCAGAGUAAUCUCCAUUUAUUCUGAGAAAAAUACCUGCAAUUGUAUUGCUGGUAUUACUGCAAUACCGGCAUGGCCAGGCAGCC